rnacentral:lncRNA from 1 species
CAAUCAUUUAAAGAUUUAUUACUAACAACUGGUGUGAACGUGUUUUAUCAGGAUAUGGAGCUCAGGCUGGUAAUUAUGGAGGACAAGCUGCAACUAAAAGCAACAGCUUUGGAGCUGAUGGUGGAAAACAACAAGUAGGAGGAAACCCUGCUGUUGUUCCCAAUGGGAACGGAGGCUAUGGAGUUAAAGCACCAAUAAAAGGUGGUGUAAAGCUUUAAUGUUUGAUAGAUGAUUUAAAUGUCAGGAUAUGGAGGACAAGCCACUAAAGGCAAUAAUGAUAGAUUUCAUACCAUGUUAUAAAACAGAUUAUUAUGCUUUGAAGAUGAUUGAUAACUACUAAUGUUGAUGUGUUUGUUAGGUUAUGGAGGUUCAGGUCCAAUUAAUGGAAACCAACCACAAGGCAAGUAUUUCACAAUUUAAUCAACUGUUUAUCUUUUAGCGUUUACAUAAU